GGCGAGCUGUGGAUGCUCAUUUAUCUUUGCAUUUCAAGAAAUAUCACCACCACAUCCAUCAGCAUUGGUACCAUGUGAUGCAGGAUCAUUGGAUGGAGGCAACGCGGCAGCGGCCCUAUGACAACAUCACUAUAGAUGAUUGGACUGUGAUAUGCUGGCAUUAUUAGGAUCUGGCAUAUCAGGUUACACAUCCAAACUUCUUUUUUUCUAGAGUUUAAUGAUUGAAUUAUUUAUUCUUAAAUUCAGUUUGUUACUUACUAAUUUGACUGCUAACUGUACAGAGAAGAUGUGCUUAGAAUGUCAUGAAUUAGGAAGAC
rnacentral:lncRNA from 1 species